GUUACCGCCGGACCGCGGCGGGGAGCGCCGGGCAGCAGACGGCGGCCCGGCCCCGCACGGCGCGGCGUUAUGCUGGCCCGGCGCACCGAGGCGUUCCUACGGCUCCGCGGGCGCAUGGGCUGCGCCGCGUUUUCGCGGGCUUUUUCCUCACGGAGGGUUUCUGUCGCCUUCCCGUCCCUGCCAGCGAUGCCCUCCUCCGAGGCCGUGCUGCAGCCAUCCCCCAGCAAGAGGCAGAAGGGCUCGGUGCCCGGGGAGCCCACCGCACGGCUCCGCUUCACUAAGCUGUCUGAGAACGCCUUCGCCCCCUCCAGGGGCUCUGCUCGGGCUGCGGGCUACGAUCUGUACAGUGCCUAUGACUGUGAGAUACCACCCAUGGGAAAGGCUGUAGUGAAAACAGACAUUCAAGUUGCACUUCCUUCUGGAUGCUAUGGCCGAGUAGCACCACGUUCUGGUUUAGCUGCAAAGCACUUCAUAGAUGUUGGUGCUGGUGUUAUUGAUGAGGAUUACAGGGGAAACGUUGGUGUGGUACUCUUCAACUUUGGCAAGGAGACUUUUGAAGAGAAAUCGGUUCCUGGGACUAGUUCACAAAGGAGCUACAUCAUACAUAGAGCUCUCUUCAUCUCUGCAGUAUUUAUGCAUAAUGACACAAUAUACCACAGUAUGGCAGCAGGAACAAGGGGGAAUGCCUUGAGUGGUACUGCUGCAGAAACUUCACCUUAAAAGGACUUAAAAGCAAGUUUAUCUUAGCCUGUAUUUUUCUGUCACUAUUAACUUGUACCUAACUACGUUUCAAAUAAGUGUUUGCACUUUAGUACAUUCUGAUGCUCUCGAAAGGAGAUUGUCUAAACUUUUCAUUGCUGGUUCACUUUUUUGAAGCAACUAAUAUUUUAACUUCUUUGCAGUCAAAAAAGGGGAUAGGAUUGCCCAGCUCAUCUGUGAACGCAUUUACUAUCCUGAGCUGGAAGAAGUUCAAGCCCUGGAUGACACCGGACGUGGUGAAGGUGGCUUUGGUUCUACUGGAAAGAACUGAAAAUUAUUUGAAUAUGUAUUCAAAUUUUUUUUAAAGUUAUUUCUAAAUUUUCAUUUGAAAAAGAAGUGGGAUUUUGGUGUACAUUUAAAAAAAAGUUUCAUUCAGAUUUCUCUGUAUCUGUCCUGUCCAUUUUUAUAGGCAGUGACUUCAUCUGCAUUAUGGGGAAAUGUGCAUGACUAACUUGAUAGAUUAGUUCAUGUAUUAUUUUUUCUUUUUAGAUGUACAGUCUUUGGUUAUAAGAACUCAUUGCUUAUGUGCUGAUUAUAUUCUAAUAAAUGUAAAAAUAAAUUAAUAAUUUGAUUUUA